rnacentral:lncRNA from 1 species
CGACCGCCUGGUUGGGGGUGGGGGGCAGAGCCCUGGGGGCUAAGGCUGUGCGGCCUGAGCGUUCCUCGGCCCAGAGCGACCCCGGGUCCCGGGAUCGAGUCCCGCCCCGCCCUCCCCGCGGGGAGCCCGCUGCCCCCUCCCCGGGUGUCUGCCUCUCUCUGGGGGCCCCGUGAGUACACAAAUCACAUCUUUAAAGUAAAAUAUGUAAAAUAAAGAUCCGUGGAGGAUGGAGACCGCCCGAAGCCACAAGCCGGCAGCGGGUCCGGUGCAGCCUCCUGGGGGCCGCUGGGGGGCGUGGCCGGGGGGGCGCGAGUGCGAGGCCGCGGGGCCCGGGGGGGGGGGGGGGGCACGAGCCCAGCCGGUGGUGUUCCCGGCUCCCCGGGCUGCGUGCGGCCGUUUGCGCGGCUCAUCGCGGAAGCGUCCUCGUCCUCGUCCUCGUCCUCGUCCUCGUCCAGGUCCUCGGGGAGCCUGGAAGCUCAGAAAAAAACAGGCCGCGGUAAGAGGUGCUAGGGGUCUGAAGUUAUUCCCUGCAGCACUCUUCAGGAUAGUGAAAGACUAGAAACAACCCGAACCCCCACCAGUAGGCCAUGCCCUAAGCGAGUUAUGGUGUAUGCGGGUGACAGGUGGCUGUACAACCAGGAAGGGGACGAGGACCCCCUCCCGCGCUGGUGCCACCGUGAUCACCAGGCCACGGCGCUGAAUGCAAUGCCAGAGCGAAGAACAAGGCAUCUGGUCUGUUACCAUUUGAAAAAUAAUAAUAAAAAAAAUGGGUAAAAGUUUUUUUGCUUGAUUCCAUGGAGAAUGCCACCAAAAAGAGUCAGAAGACAUUGGCUCAGUCCAGUUGCUCGUGGGGAGAGGAAUGGAGUCCAAGGGAGUGAAAGAGCACUCCGUUCUGCCAGCCCGUCGGGGACUAUUUCAUUCUUUAACCGCCUCGCUCACAUUCUAGAACAAUACUUCAUUGCUUCAGCCUCGGGAAUGGUGUCUGAGCUGCUGAAGGUAAUGAAGACAAGUGUUCUACUUAUCCAAGAAUUGGAGCUCAUUUCUUCUUGCUUGCACGAGUAUUGCCUUGCCAGCCAGCUCACUACAAAACCACCCCACGGCAAUAAACCACGCUGCCUAUUUUUAUAGUAUCCUUUGUCUUUUCUCUCAAGAGCUUCUUAUCUCAUCUCCUGUCAGCCUAUUUCAACUGAUGAAUUAGUUCCCUGAGCCCAUGUGACGCAUUCUACGUUUAAUUCGAACUUAACGUGUAUUUUUCUCGGUUGCUCAUGGGCAGUGAUUAGGAGAGGAAUUUCUAAGAACUUGUCGGGGAUAGUCAUGCUGUGCUUCGUGCCCUGAGAGCAAGGAUAUGUCUGUCUGCAGGGAGGGAUAACAUAUGGGUUGUACGUGGUCAGAUGCCAUAUAAAGAAAAUGGCUGUGAGAAUAAAUGCCCGUCUUCAGACUACUUGGUGCCUGACCAUGAGCCACACAGUUUCCGUAUUUGUCUUAUUUAAUCCUCUCAACAACAUUAUAUGGAAAGGAGAAGGAUUUAUUAUUAUCCUCAUUUUGAACCCCCCUUCCCCCCCAAAAAAAAUGGAAAGAAAAAAGAUAACAUACCCACAGUUACAUAGCUAGCAAGUAGAGGAGCGAAAAUUCAUAUCCAAUCUUCCUGGCCCCCUAAACCCAAGCCCUCUACCACUGUGCUACCUAUCACUGGCCUCCUGGUUAGCUAAUUAAAAGCCAUUUUUCUGUCCCUUUUGGAGCUGGCUUCAGAGCCUCGCUCUGGCCUGUCUGUUGGCUGAUCGGAGGCCCAGAGACCGUUCGGGAACUUGGGGCCAAUUCUUACACUUAUCAACAGCCUUCCCUCUCUAGUUGUUAGGAAAUACCCACGUGGCUACUUUCCUGCCUGGUGGUCCCUAGGAACGUGGUAGCACCAACGUAUGGAUCCUGUCUAUGGCGACAAGCUGCUGAGGGGCCAGGGUGCAGGAGACUGGGAGCAGCAGCACUAAUAAUGGUGAUGAUGAUAGUAAUAGUGAGUCAACCUAUUGUCCUAUCAAGAUCCAUCCCUCUGUAGGAAGAUCUAAGACGAAGGAUCGCUGGUCCCGGGCAUGCACGGGGACACAGGUAGGCCCAGAGAUCCGUCCUCGUCUCCGAGCUGAUCGAAGCCAUGGACACUGGGCUGUACCCUCUGCUCUCCCCGGAACACGGAGACCGCUGUGUGUUGGCACAUUCUCUUCAAUAGCUGCCUGACGCUCCACAGGAUUUACCCAAGGGGCUCAAUGGCGAUGCACACCUGAGUCGUCUACCACCCUUCCUACGGGAGCUGGGCCGCAGCCCACCUCCGGGUGCCCGAGUCACGCCUGGGCUGUGGCCCGCCCCCCCUGGGACCCCGCUGGAACCAGUGCUCAGGGACCGCUGCCCCUCUGGAUGAGCCACGGCCCGCCCUUUGUCCCCUCCGGUGGGGGG